CAUGCAAGUCGAACGGUAACAGGUCUUCGGAUGCUGACGAGUGGCGAACGGGUGAGUAAUAUAUCGGAACGUGCCCAGUCGUGGGGGAUAACGUAGCGAAAGUUACGCUAAUACCGCAUACGAUCUACGGAUGAAAGCGGGGGAUCGCAAGACCUCGCGCGAUUGGAGCGGCCGAUAUCAGAUUAGGUAGUUGGUGGGGUAAAGGCUCACCAAGCCAACGAUCUGUAGCUGGUCUGAGAGGACGACCAGCCACACUGGAACUGAGACACGGUCCAGACUCCUACGGGAGGCAGCAGUGAGGAAUAUUGGUCAAUGGGCGCAAGCCUGAACCAGCCAUGCCGCGUGCAGGAAGAAUGCCCUAUGGGUUGUAAACUGCUUUUAUUUAGGAAUAAACCUUACUACGUGUAGUAAGCUGAAGGUACUGAAUGAAUAAGCACCGGCUAACUCCGUGCCAGCAGCCGCGGUAAUACGGAGGGUGCAAGCGUUAUCCGGAAUCAUUGGGUUUAAAGGGUCCGCAGGCGGAUUUAUAAGUCAGUGGUGAAAUCCUAUCGCUUAACGAUAGAACUGCCAUUGAUACUGUAAGUCUUGAAUUCGGUCGAAGUGGGCGGAAUGUGUAGUGUAGCGGUGAAAUGCAUAGAUAUUACACAGAACACCGAUAGCGAAGGCAGCUCACUAGGCNUGGAUUGACGCUCAGGGACGAAAGCGUGGGGAUCAAACAGGAUUAGAUACNCCUGGUAGUCCACGCUGUAAACGAUGGUUACUCGUUUUCGGCGAUAUACAGUCGGAGACUAAGCGAAAGUGAUAAGUAAUC
rnacentral:rRNA from 1 species